AAUUCACCUAUUUGGUGCAUUUUGUAUAAUGUGGUGUUUUGUGAUUGACUUCUUCGCUUAGCAUGUUUUCAAGGUUCAUCCACAUGGUAGACUAUAUCGGAGCUCCAGUCUUCACCUUCAGCUUGGACUUGUCUCCUGGCUUCUAGUGCAGCCUCUUCGGCUUCCACCUUGGAUCCUUCAGUUUUCCGUCGCAGACUCAUCGGCCUCCUGGUACGGACUUGCACGGAACUCUACAGUGAACUCCAGACCCUGGACUGAUGCCUUCGGUCUUCAGUGUGCAGACACCCUCUGCCCACUUCCCCAUACAACUCUCUGGCUGACUGUCGUAAGCCAAUCUUGUAAUUUCUUAUAAUUUAUAUAUCCUGUGUUAUAUCUGUUUCUCCAGUAAAACCCUGACUGAUACAUUAUACUAACAUCAUACUCGCUUGAUGACUAUUGCA
rnacentral:lncRNA from 1 species